AUUGAACGCUGGCGGCAUGCUUUACACAUGCAAGUCGAACGGUAACAGGCCGCAAGGUGCUGACGAGUGGCGAACGGGUGCGUAAUGCAUCGGAACGUGCCCAGUCGUGGGGGAUAACUACUCGAAAGAGUAGCUAAUACCGCAUACGAUCUAUGGAUGAAAGCGGGGGACCGUAAGGCCUCGCGCGAUUGGAGCGGCCGAUGUCAGAUUAGGUAGUUGGUGGGGUAAAGGCUCACCAAGCCAACGAUCUGUAGCUGGUCUGAGAGGACAACCAGCCACACUGGGACUGAGACACGGCCCAGACUCCUACGGGAGGCAGCAGUGGGGAAUUUUGGACAAAGGGCGCAAGCCUGAUCCAGCAAUGCCGCGUGCAGGAAGAAGGCCUUCGGGUUGUAAACUGCUUUUGUACGGAACGAAACGGCUCUGGUUAAUACCCGGGGCUAAUGACGGUACCGUAAGAAUAAGCACCGGCUAACUACGUG
rnacentral:rRNA from 1 species